AAUACAAGCGUGAUUUGGAAACUCCCGGAGACUGAGAACACAUCACACCUUAGUGAUAAAUAACCCCUUGAUUACUGCAAACAUUAAAACAACCUGCUUUUAGAAGAUAAGCACUCCAUGGAGCUGACAAGCUUGAAUUUUAGCCUAGUUUCAGCUUUCUGGUUUUGGAUUUGAUUUUAUCUUAUUUUUGUGCAUCUGAGUAGAAACUUUCUUACUGCCAUAGUUUUGUUUCUCAUAUAAACUGUGCUAUCAUCUUAACCCGCUCUCUGUUAAAGAAAAAAAACAGCUUGUGCACCUUAGCCCUGCUCUGCUGGAAUGUUUUUCAAUCUUUACUUAUAUGCACAUCUCUUCUCUAAAUCCUUAGCGAUGCAUAAUUAUUCUCUUUGCCCCUAGAGAUACCAGGUGUGCAUGUAGACCUCCAUGGAGGCUACCCUUUAGUCACAUAAAGAAACAGUUUAAACUGCUUUUUCCCUCUCAAAAUUCUCCUGCCAGCAUGUGCAAGGAUACACAGUGACCAAGAGAUUUGUUGAUUAUUCUCAAGCUCAAUACAUCCCCUUUGGUUAAAAGUCAAAAGCUUCUCUACUCUAAGUAAACUCAGAAACAUAUUGGGGAAUAAACUUUGUGGUUCUGUGCUUGCACUUAGAGCUUGAAGUUGAUCAAUCUGAAAAAACAUGUAAUUCUUGACCUUGCAGUACAGAGUCCACUUCAGCAACACAGACCUUUUGUUGAUACAUCAUAGCGAAAACAUUGUCAUGUAUAAAUUUGAAACUACAUUUAUGGAUUCAAGAUUUAAUCUGCCAGGGAGUUAUCAGUAGAAUCUCCAGCAAUGUUAAAAGAAUUAAAUCUGCAGAAUGUUUUUAGCUUGAUUAUUGAAGGAAUACUCAAACAUCCUGGAAUAUGGUUAGCAGAAUCUGAAUUAUCAAAUAUCGUUAAGUUGUAUUCACAUUGAUCAAGAAGGAUUCUUGUUAAAGUAUUUUUACUGAAACUGUCUUAAAAAAAAACAACACUGAAGGAAAAACAAAACUCAUUUUCUAAUGCUGCAGCUACCCUCCAUUCCAACUCGUUAAAUUUAUUUACCACAGCUGUCCUCAUCGCUAUCAUCCUCACAGUCAGCUUGACCAUCACAUCUCCUGGAUGCCAGGACACACCUCCCAGAACGGCACUUGAAGUGACUGGAGUACCAUUCUGGGACAAGAGAGCAGAAGAGAGCUGGAAGAUCUUUAAGGAAGUCUUCCACUGAGUGCAAGAGCUAGCAAUCCCCAGGAGCAAGAAAUCCAUCAAGGAAGGCAAGAGACUGGCAUGGCUGAGUAGGGAACUGCUGGUCAAACUAAAGGAAAAGAAGCAAAUGCACAGGCAGUGGAAACAAGGACAGGAAUAUCUGUUUUGGAGCUAAGAUUGGCAACAACAGUGAAUCAGCUUUUUAGAGACUGUCAAGGGUCUACCUCCUGCUUAGAAAAACAUUAUUAGAUCAUCUAAGAAGAUAAAAAAUUGAAAUAUUAUAACAAGCAAGCAGUUGCUGUGCUGGCAGCAAAUCUCAAAACAUUGACUUUCACAGAUCGAGGGUAAUUGAACCUUCCUUCAAACAGACUUAUGAAAAUUUCCUCUUAUCUGCAAACUUCAGGUAUUCAAAUUCCAUGAAACUCAGUUAGGAAUAAUUUCCACAGUUUAAAUAUUAUAAUUAAAAAGAAGGUAUGAACUUGGGAACCUAUUUAAAACUUUAAUUUGCUGUUAUAUGUAUAGGAGAUACCUUCUACAUCUUCAUCUGGUGUUAGACAAGUUUGAUUGUCUGAGUUCUCAUCUGGAAACUGAGUGCAGUCUGUAUCCUCUGGCCACUGCAGACCUACAAUCCCAAGAACAGCCUCGCAGCGUUCCUUAGACUGUACACAUAAUGUCCUGAGGAGACAAAAUGGAAUUGCACAAAGUAACUGAGUUAAUGUCUUAGAAAUUCUGAGAUACUCUAAGUUAAUAAUCCCUAGCAAGGGAAUUUUAGGACACGCAUUGCAAUUUUCAGUACACUUUUCUUUCAAUGCAGUAAAUGUUAAUUGAUAAAUACUGUCAAGGUAGGCCCAAUAAAAGAGGCAGAAAUACAGUAUGAGAAGGCUCUAGCAGCCAGUAGCUCAAAGAGCUCUGCCUGCUGCUCAGGUUUAUUAGCUCUCCUAAUCUGCAACAAUUGCUGCUACCAAAGCACAAGAUUUACAGAACACAGUCUCUUUUGAACAAAUACAGGCUCUAAAAAGUACAGUGAUGUUACUCGAUGAGGAUGGUAGAAUCUGACAAGUAAAAAAAAUAAGUUAGUCAGUAAUUCAGAAUGAUGUGGCACUCCUAAUUUAGAAAGGCAAACAUGCAUUAAAAUGUCAGCUGUCAAUAGCAAUUAGACAGAACUUUUCACAGUCAUGUACUAAUGUAAGGAACUAUUACAAAUGCUAGUGUUCCAAAUAAAUUAAUUGAUUCUAUGUUUAAAUACCCUUUAUAGUGGUGCAAACACACAGAAAUGGAAAAUGCUUCAUACAAAGCUCACAAUAUCCUUCUAGUCAACUUGUCCAACACUAGAGUCAGCAGGUUCACAGUGCACUGACUAAAGAACUGGAUGAAGGGCAGAGCUCAAAGAGCCCUAGUGCAAAGUGCUACAUCUGACUGGUGACUAGUCACCAGUGCUGUUCCUUUGCAUUAAAUUUUGGGGACAGUCCUGCUCAAUAUAGCAGGUCUGGAUACAGUAGUUUAAAGCACCAUCAGCAAGAUGCUGAUGAUACCAAAGCAGGAGGUGCUGUUGACUCUCUUGAGGGACAAGAGGCCUUGCAGAGAGAUCUAGAUAAAUUGGAGCAUUGGUCCAUCAUCAAGGCCAUGAAAUUUAACAAGAACAAAUGCCAGAUUCUGCACCUAGGAUGGAGUAAUGCUGGACACAAACUGGAGAGCAGCCCUGCAGAAAGAGUGCUGGUCAGCAGCAGAUUCAGUGUGAGUCAGCAGCAUGCCCAGGCAGCCAACAGGGCAAACCAUGUCCUGGGGCACAUCAAACGCAAGUGUUACUAGCCAGUGAAAAGAGGUGAUUAUCCUGCUGUAUUCGGCGUUGUCGCAGCCUCACUUUGCACACUGUGUGGAGCACUGGGCCUCACAAUUUAAGAAGGAUGUGAAGGUCCCUAAAUACACCUCCAGAGGAGAGCAACAAAGCUGGAGAAAGGAAUCUCCUAUGGGGAGUGGCUGAGGAUUUGGCCUUGUCUACUUUGCAGAAAAGCUCUCUACAGCUUCCUGAGGAAGGGACAAUGAGAUGGAGGUGCUGAUCUCUUCUCCCUGGGAUACAGUGAUAGCACACAUGGGAACGGUUCAAAACUGCGCCAAGAGAGGUUUAGACUGGACAUUAGGAGGCAUUUCUCUACUAAGCGUGGUCAAACCCUGGUAUAGGCUUUCUAGAGAGGUGUUCAAUGCCCCAAGCCUGUCAGUGUUUAAGAGGCAUUCAGAUAACACCCUUAAUAACACGCUGUAACUUCUGGUCAGUCCUGAAAUGGUCAGGCAGUUGGACUAGAUGAUCAUUGUAGGUCUCUUCCAACUUAAAUAGUCUAAUCUAUUCUAUAUAUACAUUUUGAAAAUAAACUGUCAUCUCUUUCCUUUUUCUGAAUACUUUUGAUGCUAAACAAACACAUGUAAUGAACUGCAUUUAAUAAUCAUAAAAUACAGUUCUCUGUCAUUUGCUACAGAAUUCCAAACCAAAAUUUCUGGCGUUUUCAGUGGAAGCAUAAAACUGCAAAAGGCUAAUAGACAGACAAAGUCAAGAAUUAAAUGAAGUAUAGUAUAGUACCUGCAAGGUGGGAUCCGCUGAUUUGUGUGAGGGUCACAUUUUGGUACUAAGAUUGUGCAGGCAAAAAACAUCAGGUACUUGUAGCAGUUGGUCUGAACCAAGGCUGGGAAAAGAGAAGACUCCCAGCUGAUAGAGGCUUCCUUCUGCGUCCUGUGGCCCAGGUAGUUUGGGUAGUAAGUAUAGUUGUAGGGCAAGUUCAUACAAAGUUCCAGAGUAAUUGGUUCACACUGACCUGUUGCAGAAAGAAAACAAACAAAACCACAAAUGGCGUGAGAUUCAAUUAAAUACAGCAGAAAUAAUUAAAUACGUAUUUAACAAAUUCAUUAGUCAAGGAAUUUCCUCCUAAGCAUGAGAAACAAGUUCCAGAGCUCAAGACCCCAUAUGAGUUCUCAUGCCAGUAAAGGUGGGUUUGACUUCUGCCUACCUCACAAAACUAUUGAGACUGAUAUUUCCUUAUUAAUAUGCAUUAAUUUCCUGAACAAUGUCUUAACUUGAAUGUGGUACAAUAAACCAUCCUUUAAAACAGA